CCCUGUGCCACAUUUAUUGAGCAGCCAUUUGUUAUUACCUGCUCUGACUUAUGCUGUAAUUCAGCACAUUACACAACAAAAGUCAAAUCGUCCUGCACGAUAUGAUCCUUUUCGAUUUUUUCAUUUUUAUUUCGACUAUAUAUAUAUGUAACUUUAACGUCUGUGAGUUAUUUAAAUUCUACAAAUUAUGUUAAAAGGGUUAAAAUCGUGCAAGAGAAUUGUGAUUUGUUAUUUGCAUACAAUUUAUAUGUAUUAUAUUAAUUGAUAUUCACAUAUAAUUUGCAUUCUUGUUACGUCCUUAAAUAUAAUUUAGCACUAUGUUGAGCUGAAUUGUGAAUUUCUUUAAAAUGCUUUAUUAAUUCAACAAUGCGCUAUUUUUAGGCUUUAAUUAGAACAAUGGAGACUCUUUUUAUUUGAAACUGUGUUAUAAAAUGAUUAAAACCAUUUAACAAGAAAAAAAAACGCUCUAGUAAAGUUAUCUCCAUGGUUCGCCUUAAUCAAGGUUUUGAGGUAACGGUAUUACCUUCUCCAUGUGGCACUUCCUCAUAUUACAAAUAUAAUCAAACCUACGUGUUAUGCACGCAGCGCCCCGAGUUUAGUCACUCGUUGAGCGACAACUGAACUGUUGAAAAACAAGUAAUUUAUUAGCAACAUGCGCUCAAAGCAAUGAAGUAGGAAACCUAUGGAAAUGAAACGUCAACCAGAAUUUCGUGCCACUGUGACGUCAUCUGGCCACAAAACAUGGCGGCUUUAGUGCUGUACAAAAGAUUUCAAUGUUAUCAGGUUUUAUCGAUAAACGUUCUUGGCUCAUUUUAUUUUAAAUAUUGUUGAGUAUUAUUUAUUUGUAGAAUUUAUACUUUAAUGGGAAGUAAGUAGGUAUAUUGUUAUGUGCAAAUAUGAUAUGAUUUAGAUGGGUGAAAUCUAAGACAAGUUCGUCCUUCGAAUUUGCCAAGUAAACGAUAUGAUGAUUUUUAAAAGUUGCUACACUGAUUUUAUAAAGUUGUCGUUUGCCGCAAAACAUAAAGAUAUGGCGUAGUUCAAAGCCAUCAGCCCAUUUCUAGCAUGCUAAAUGUUAUCGUAUUUUGAGUACGUGUUUUUCUUAGACUAUUACAAUCUAUUUUAAUUGUUUUGCUGACUCUAAAGUCCGUAACAUACUACCGCAGCGCACCCCAAGGAAGGUGCGCCGCACCAUUUGAAUCACUUUCGCUUGAGAGUGAUUCAAAUUUUAAACUUAUCAAGGGACCGCGUGAAAAAAAAAACACCUACAGAACAUUUAUUCAUUAAUUACAAACGUCAUUCCUUGUGACUUCCUCUCUAAAAUCACUUAAUUAUUAAAAAUUUAACAAAUUUACAAUAGUGUUUUACUCACUGCGGAAUAAAACUAUUUUAUUUUAAUAGUUCCGAAGAGAUUUUGUCGGUAGCCUUUUUCCCGAAAUAUCUAAACAGAAUGUCUAAAUAUGUUUUGAUGACAUAUCUUAAAGUGGUAUUUAUGAUUAGUGUCAUGAUCAAUAGAUUCCGACCGAAAAAUGGAUUUUUCGGAUGAGGGCUCCAUAAUGAAUUUAAAUACAUAUAGAUAAUAGUUUUAGGACAUCGACUUUCUUGAGAUCCUAUAAAAUACGUUUUAAUUAUUAUUUUUGUAUGUUUUAAGCAUGAUAAAUUAUGAAAUUUUAUAUAAUCAAUCAUAUUAAAUCGAUAUCAUAGUCAAUAAAUAAUGUACAACCCAAAACAGACGGCCGAACUGACGUGACAAUGACAUUUGGCGCGCUAAACAUGGCGGAUUUUCGGCCUCAUUAGACGGAGACGGAGAUAUUUACGUAUAUUCAUGUUUCAUUUUAUGUACGCACUGAAAUACUGUUAUAUUGUUUUCCUGCGAGUUAAAGUGCUGAGUAAGAACGAGAUAGAUAUAUGUUUAUGUAUGUGCCUUCAAAAUGGGUGCUAUUUAUAUAAGCAAUUGUACGUAUAGAACAAUAUGUCGUGUCCCUACUUUAAAGGUCUAUGGCUCAAAGCUAGCACCACAGCUGCAAAGACACGAAUCUACGAUUGCCAUAAAAUAUUUUCGUUUAAUUUUUACAUAGGGCAAUGUGCCUUCACAACCAUUUGGCGCUAACUUUAAAUUUGUCACAUUCUAUAAAUCAAUGUGGCGCUGGUCUUAUGUGGCAUGCAUAGCCAAUAACGAUCUAGAAGAAAAGAAAAAAAUAAAACAUGAAAUCAUUAGGUUUGAUGAUGUGAGCAAUAGAUGUGUGAGAGUCAUUGAAUGUUCCAGAUGAGAAAUAAAUAAAAAACUAUAUUUUGUUUUACCACAUAACACCAUGCACGAUAAUGAUAAUAGCAGACGGUGGUAGGUGAGCGCGACCUUCUUAAAUUUUAUUUACUCCAUUAUUGAAGAUUAAAUUGAUGUAAUUGUAUAAACAGAACAUUCUGCUAUUAUUAAACUUCUUUGUUUUUUUAUAAAACUCUUUCAAUUCUAUAUAAAAACAAAGUAACUGUCUUGUUCAAAAUACCAAUGUUCUCAAUAUUAUAUCAUGUAGAAAUAUUAUUUGUAUUAUUAUUAUUUCUGCAUAAUAUAAAUAUUUUUAAUUAAAACAAUUCAAACUCACCGCAAUGUUUCGAGUAAAUGUAUUACGUCAUUUGUGAGAGCCAAAUACCGAAAUCUUAGCCUUAGCCAUUCGGUCGACACACUUUCUGAGGAAGAAAAUCAUUUCAAGAAAAUCGCCGGAUCCCCACCCGCGCGGCAGGUGGGGUAUGUGGGAGUUGAAAUUCACUAAAAACUCCAACCGCUCACAGCCGGCGCCCUACCCCAGACCGGGCCGGAGCCCAGUCGGGGCUAUUGAGAUGGCGGGACAAGGUUGACGCAGAGCAUAUUACAUCCGAGCCGAGAGCCCGCCUUGAUGGCGCCGCGCUACACCUUCACCCGGAGCGUUUGGGGGAACGCGGUCUACCAUCACCAGGCUUCCUAUUGCGGGCGAGUGUUCAAAGCACGCAGCCCUACGCCUUUGCCCCUCCCCGCACAAAGCGUGUGGGACCCUAAGCUCUUAGGAGGCCGGCUCACGGAUGCGACCCCGGUCCCGACCCCCUGCCGGCGGCGGUGGAUUUCAGCGUAGUGAGAAGAACUUUGCCUCACUCGCCCUGCCACCUCCUUCUGCGAGAUAGUGUACUCGCAGAAGUCUAGCAUAGCUUUCCAGGACUCAUCGCUGCCAAGCGUCGACGCUACGAUGCCAGCCAGCGACAAUUCCGGUCCUAUCUUUGCGAUCAGGACACGGCACUGAUUUACCUAGUUAGUUUUUAAUAUACUUUCGAUUAAUAAAAAGAGGGGUAUUUUUGUUCUCGUGGAUUUUGACGCUCUCAUCGAUUUACCGCCAAUAUAUUACCCAUCAUUCCAUCUAAUGUAAAAUAAUCUUCAUUUAUUUUAUUCAAUCGCUCUUAAUUUAUAUCUUAGGUUUUAGUGGUGAGUUGGGCUAUGAAUUCAAAUCUUGCCCAUUUCCACCUCAUGUCGCCAAGAUUAAUGCCGAUAUUUUUGUUCUAUUACCUAUGGGUUCCCGCAACCGUCUGACAUUGGACGGAACGCGAUCUAAACUUUCUUUACAUUUGAAAUAUUGUCACACACGAGGAAUUUCAAGAAACUGGGGGGUGGGUAUAUAAUAUUUUACUGGGAUGUCAGCAUUCUGCUUAUCGCGACACUUCAAUAUUAAUAGAUAAAAGAAAGGGCGCAUAAGAUGACUAACGAGAAGUAGAAGUGAGGGUGUAUUCGGAGCCGUGGCUUCCUCGCCGUGGGGCAACUAAUCAGUCAAUCUUGCGGAGAACGUUAUGGCCGGAGUGAAUCUGCAAAAUGACGGCCGCUCGCUAUAAUUAAUUACCCAAACUUCAAUAGGUACCGACAACAAAGGACGAUUGUUUGCUUUCUGCGCCGUUGAAUCGAUGUCGGCCCUAAAAUCCGGAUAAUCUUGCCUUUUGUAUCCGUUUUAUGAAAGAAAUAAAGUUUUUAUUUCCUUUAGAAUUAGUGUCACUAAAGCAAUCUUUCUUAUCUGUGUCUUUUUCAGUUCUCCGGAAUAGAGCCAGAGCUUUUUAUAAUUGGCUACAUGAGAUCACGGCCCAAUUGGUUUUAAACGCAUAUCAGAUACGAACACGUUCACAGAAACACAAUGUGAAUGCUAGAACUUUGUUAUUGUUUCAAAGUCUCAACCGCAUUGAAAUCGAAGCUGACCAAACCUUUCUAAUCAUAACGCAUGAAUGAUUCGGAGCAGAAAUAAUUAAUUAGGCAUAUUAUUACCUAUAUUACGUGUACUCAUUGAAAUAUUUAAGAAAUUGUGAUUGUAUUUUCUUUGGUCCUCUUUAUUAUCCAGCGAGCUACACUGGUCAAUAAAAUAAAAAUUACAUUUAUAUAUGACGGUAGAAACAUACCGAGUACAUAUAUUGGUAUCACAAAGUUAAAAGAUUUAUUUAUUACUUAUUCAUAAUCAAACUAAUAAAUAGUAACACACUUUAUGUUUAAACAUAUGUAGCUUUUUAUUACUAAUUUAAUAUUUUAGUUAAAACGCAUCAUCCUACCGACCGAUAUACCAGGGGGCACAGACCGAGCAGUUGUUUGUCGUUUUCAUGUGCGAUAACUUUUCCAAUUCCUUCCACGCCCAAAAGUACUCGAGUUCACGGUAUUUAGUACAAUGUGAAAUCCACAAUUGGACAUACAAUAACAUUGAGACUUCGAGUUCAUUGUCUCAAGAUCGGUGGUGCCAUUAAAGUUUUGAUGCUUAUCCGGUAACCACAUAAUGCCGAGCGGGCAGUCAGGUCCUCUCCCCAUCUACGAAAUUAAACAAGUAAUCAUAUUUUCUCGGAAACAGCAACAGCAAAACCCGCGAGAGGCAGUCACAUUGUUGUGCCAAGUUAAAAGACUGGCCUGCAGAUAACGGUUUGUGCACAAAAGCUGUAUUCCGCCCACCGUCUAAUAUUAUAUGAACUCUCAUUGUCUACUUAAUUACAACGGGUGUCUUUGAGAUAUGGCUGGUACAUAUUCCGGUACAAAAGCCGUCACAUACAAAUAAUGUUAUAUCGCAGGGGCUGUGUUUUCUCGUCUUGAAAGCCAAUAAUACCGUUUAUAUACGAAGUGCCCGACAGUCGAUGUUGGCCAGGUUGGGGCGCUCAUGAAUCCAAUCGUUUGUUUGACGUGUACUUUCAUUCGACUGACGUAGGAUAUUAAUAUUGAAAAUAACACACUUCAGAAUAAUAUUGCUUUUUGCUGUUAAUAUUUCGUUUGCUUGUAUCGGCUUAUUAAAAUGUCAAUAUAAUUUAUGAGUCUUGUUAUUUUGGUUCAAACAUUUGAUUCACCAUUCAAUGUUAGCGAGUAUAUAUUUAGGCUUCUCCAUAUUUCUCAGGUCUAUUGGAAUCAUAAUCAUACAUAGUCUUCUCUAGAUUAGCUAAUGUGUCUUCUGCCUAAAAUAUUGAUCUAGAUUACUCUUACAAGCAAGACUUUUUUGGUGAAAACCAACUGAUAAAAUAUUAUGAUCCAGCCUAAUAAAAAUAAAGGUUUGCGAUAACAAUAAUUUUAAAUUAGAUCAAUUUAGGACGAUAACGGCUUCAGUUAUUAUUUCCAUGGCGCCGAUAAACCUUGUAAAUGGUUUUCCAAACGUCCCGGCUGUGCAGUGAGGCUUUUUAUUAGGGUAUUUGUCAAGAUAUUCGUUGGCUAAAAGGGACUAUAAUCGAAAAUUUUACCGUUGGUUACCAUACGCCUUAUGAUCUCAGCGGGUAGGUAAUUUAUUGGAAAUAUAAACUGCAUACGGUAUGUUUACUAGCCACUGACCAGUGACUAAUGUCUAAUGAAUGUUCCUUUUUUUAAUUUCGAUUCGAUGGGACGAUGCGUAAUUUAAUAAAAAAAACACUUCUCCUUUUUUAAUUAUGGAAAUGAGCCAUUAGUACUGGACUGGACCUCUUGUGAGUCCGCACAGGUAGGUACCGCCAUCCUGUGUAUUUCUGCCGUGAAGCAGUAAAGCGUUUCGGUUUGAAAGGUGGGGCAGCCGUUGUAAAUAUACUCGAGACCUUAGAACUUAUAUCUCAAGGUGGGUGGCGCAUUUACGUUGUAGAUGUCUAUUGCCUCCAGUAACCACUUAACAACGGGUGGGCUGUGAGCUCGUCCACCCAUCUAAACAAUAAAAAAAAGGUCCUUGAAAUGCCACUGCUGCCAGGAUAAAGUUUAUAAAACUCUUUAAUCUUAAAUUACAUAGACAUAUUCUGUUAUGUAUAUGUAAAAUGUUAUGGACCAAAAUGAGAGGAAGUGGAUAUAUUUGACAAGGUAAUCAAUUGGGAUGAAAUUAACUGAAACGAAAUGAAAUAAAGGCACAGUAAAAUGGUGGUUAUUUACUGAGACUUUAUUGAACUUUUUCGAGGAAUUAUCCACAUUUGCGCACUUCCACAGAUGCUAAACUGUUAAAAAUCCACCAUAGUUACACAUUUAAACAAGCGAAACCCAAAAUUAGCAAAAUAAUAAAAUAAUCACACAGCUUCGCUCCUCGCAUUCCCGCCAAAAAGCCCUAUAGCAACCACAAUUUUAUUAAAAAAAUCGAUUUCGGUUUAUUUAAAAUAUAUUAAAAAUAUAAAAAGUUAUUAAAAAUAUAAAAAAAAGGAAAUAUUUGAGAAAAAAACCAAAAAAAAGCCCGCUGAGUUUGUUUCGCCGGUUCUUUUCAGGACUGUGGCUUUUUUUGGAACCGGUGGUAGAGUUAACAUUGUUAUUUAUAUUUUGACAUUUAACAAGUGUGUUAUACUGACAUCUAAGUUGAAAUAAAUGAUUUUGAAUUUGAAUUGAA